GUGUGACUGCGUACCUUUUGUAUAAUGGGUCAGCGACUUAUAUUCUGUAGCAAGGUUAACCGUAUAGGGGAGCCGGAGGGAAACCGAGUCUUAACCGGGCGUUAAGUUGCAGGGUAUAGACCCGAAACCCGGUGAUCUAGCCAUGGGCAGGUUGAAGGUUGGGUAACACUAACUGGAGGACCGAACCGACUAAUGUUGAAAAA
rnacentral:rRNA from 1 species